UGGGGAACCCUUGAGAGCCACACUCAACCCAUAUCCAAGGCUUUACACCAUUAUUAUUGUAAUCACUACUAAAUAUCUAUUAUGUGCUCAGUAGUCAGCGUGCAGGACCUUAACAGGAGAAAGCAAAAAUCUCUGAGUCUGGCUGCCUAUGUCACAAUGGAGAUUCUUGGGAUAAACAUCAUAAAGGCUGCUGGUCAUUUGGGGAUGGGUGGGACUUGGGAGCAAGAGUAUAAAUCCAGGGAGCAAGGCCUGCUGAAACGAUUCAGCCAUGCUCCAUCAGUCAAGAGGAGCUUCAUCCAGAGAGAGUUCUUCUGAUCACUGGGUCAGAAGCACCCGAGUUCCUGUCUUCAGUUGAGAUUCAGCCAUGCCAGCACUAGAAGUCUAAGAAUAUCAUAAUCCCUGAGUGAUAUAAAGACCUUUGCAAGGAAGAUGAGAUACCCAGAGGCUGUAAAGGAGAGGUCUGAAGGAUUUGACCAUGUUCAAAUGAAAAGCUUCAGUUCAGCAAAACACCAGAAACAAAUUCAAAAGAUAAAAUACACACCGGAGAAGCCCAUUCUCUCGCCACAUCUGACAGUUCACAAAGAGCAACUACAGUCUGACUUAAAAAAUGAACAAAGUGGUUGGAAAAUGGGCAACCAAGAGGCAACUACAAUAACAAGAAAUAGAAAUGCCCAUUAACCAACAAGGUGAUGUCCAUGUUAACUCUUAAAAGAGUGAGGAUAGAGGCAUAGUAAAAAUGAAAAUUUGUUGAAGAUUACAAUGGACUUUUUGGGCCAUAAAUAAAAACCCUGUUGGCAAGA